AUGCAGUCGAGGGGCAGCGAGGGAGUGGCAACACUUCUGUCGGCGACCGGCGCACGGGUGAGUAACGCGUAUGCAACCUACCCUUCACAGGGGGAUAACCGGGAGAAAUUCCGACUAAUACCGCAUACGUCCUCCGGGGGCAUCCCCGGGGGAUGAAAGAGUUAUCGGUGAAGGAUGGGCAUGCGUGAUAUUAGGUAGUUGGCGGGGCAACGGCCCACCAAGCCCACGAUAUCUAGGGGUUCUGAGAGGAAGGUCCCCCACAUUGGUACUGAGACACGGACCAAACUCCUACGGGAGGCAGCAGUGAGGAAUAUUGGUCAAUGGACGAGAGUCUGAACCAGCCAAGUCGCGUGAAGGAAGACGGAUCUAUGGUUUGUAAACUUCUUUAGUGCGGGAACAAAGCGGCGUCGUGACGCCGGAUGAGUGUACCGCAAGAAUAAGCAUCGGCUAACUCCGUGCCAGCAGCCGCGGUAAUACGGAGGAUGCGAGCGUUAUCCGGAUUUAUUGGGUUUAAAGGGAGCGCAGGCUGCGAGGCAAGUCAGCGGUCAAAUGUCGGGGCUCAACCCCGGCCUGCCGUUGAAACUGUUUUGCUAGAGUUCGAGUGAGGUAUGCGGAAUGCGUUGUGUAGCGGUGAAAUGCAUAGAUAUGACGCAGAACUCCGAUUGCGAAGGCAGCAUACCAACUCGCGACUG
rnacentral:rRNA from 1 species